GUGCUCACUUGAGCAGCACUUUUACUAAAAUUGCAAUGAUACCCACAGAUGAUUAGCACGGCCUCUGCACAAGGAUGAUAUGCAAAUUUCAUCAACCAUUGCAAAUUUUA
ensembl:snRNA U6 U6 spliceosomal RNA